CCUACGGGAGGCAGCAGUGGGGAAUAUUGCACAAUGGGGGGAACGCUGAUGCAGCAACGCCGCGUGGGUGAAGAAGUACUCCGGUAGGUAAAGCCCUGUCAGCAGGGAAGAAAAUGACUGUACCUGACCAAGAAGCCCCUGCUAACUACGUGCCAGCAGCCGCGGUAAUACGUAGGGGGCAAGCGUUAUCCGGAUUUACUGGGUGUAAAGGGAGCGAAGAAGGCAAGGAAAGUCUGGAGUGAAAGCCCGUGGCUCAACGACGGGACUGCUUUGGAUACUGUGUUGCUGGAGUGCAGGAGGGGUAAGAGGAAUGCCUAGUGUAGCGGUGAAAUGCGUAGAUAUUAGGAGGAACACCGGUGGCGAAGGCGGCUUACUGGACUGUAACUGACGUUGAGGCUCGAAGGCGUGGGGAGCAAACAGGAUUAGAUACCCCUGUAGUC
rnacentral:rRNA from 1 species